rnacentral:rRNA from 1 species
GCGACAGGCUUAACACAUGCAAGUCGAGGGGCAGCGGGGGUAGCGAUACCCGCCGGCGACCGGCGCACGGGUGAGUAACGCGUAUGCAACUUGCCUAUCAGAGGGGGAUAACCCGGCGAAAGUCGGACUAAUACCGCAUGAAGCAGGGGCCCCGCAUGGGGAUAUUUGCUAAAGAUUCAUCGCUGAUAGAUAGGCAUGCGUUCCAUUAGGCAGUUGGCGGGGUAACGGCCCACCAAACCGACGAUGGAUAGGGGUUCUGAGAGGAAGGUCCCCCACAUUGGUACUGAGACACGGACCAAACUCCUACGGGAGGCAGCAGUGAGGGAUAUUGGUCAAUGGCCGAGAGGCUGAACCAGCCAAGUCGCGUGAGGGAUGAAGGUUCUAUGGAUCGUAAACCUCUUUUAUAAGGGAAUAAAGUGCGGGACGUGUCCCGUUUUGUAUGUACCUUAUGAAUAAGGAUCGGCUAACUCCGUGCCAGCAGCCGCGGUAAUACGGAGGAUCCGAGCGUUAUCCGGAUUUAUUGGGUUUAAAGGGUGCGUAGGCGGCCUUUUAAGUCAGCGGUGAAAGUCUGUGGCUCAACCAUAGAAUUGCCGUUGAAACUGGGGGGCUUGAGUAUGUUUGAGGCAGGCGGAAUGCGUGGUGUAGCGGUGAAAUGCAUAGAUAUCACGCAGAACCCCGAUUGCGAAGGCAGCCUGCCAAGCCAUUACUGACGCUGAUGCACGAAAGCGUGGGGAUCAAACAGGAUUAGAUACCCUGGUAGUCCAUGCAGUAAACGAUGAUCACUAGCUGUUUGCGAUACACUGUAAGCGGCACAGCGAAAGCGUUAAGUGAUCCACCUGGGGAGUACGCCGGCAACGGUGAAACUCAAAGGAAUUGACGGGGGCCCGCACAAGCGGAGGAACAUGUGGUUUAAUUCGAUGAUACGCGAGGAACCUUACCCGGGUUUGAACGCAUUCGGACCGAGGUGGAAACACCUUUUCUAGCAAUAGCCGUUUGCGAGGUGCUGCAUGGUUGUCGUCAGCUCGUGCCGUGAGGUGUCGGCUUAAGUGCCAUAACGAGCGCAACCCUUGCCACUAGUUACUAACAGGUAAAGCUGAGGACUCUGGUGGGACUGCCAGCGUAAGCUGCGAGGAAGGCGGGGAUGACGUCAAAUCAGCACGGCCCUUACAUCCGGGGCGACACACGUGUUACAAUGGCGUGGACAAAGGGAGGCCACCUGGCGACAGGGAGCGAAUCCCCAAACCACGUCUCAGUUCGGAUCGGAGUCUGCAACCCGACUCCGUGAAGCUGGAUUCGCUAGUAAUCGCGCAUCAGCCAUGGCGCGGUGAAUACGUUCCCGGGCCUUGUACACACCGCCCGUCAAGCCAUGGGAGCCGGGGGUACCUGAAGUCCGUAACCGAAAGGAUCGGCCUAGGGUAAAACUGGUGACUGGGGCUAAG